AUUGAACGCUGGCGGCAGGCCUAACACAUGCAAGUCGAGCGGAUGAAGGGGGCUUGCUCCUGGAUUCAGCGGCGGACGGGUGAGUAAUGCCUAGGAAUCUGCCUGGUAGUGGGGGAUAACGUCCGGAAACGGGCGCUAAUACCGCAUACGUCCUGAGGGAGAAAGUGGGGGAUCUUCGGACCUCACGCUAUCAGAUGAGCCUAGGUCGGAUUAGCUAGUUGGUGGGGUAAAGGCCUACCAAGGCGACGAUCCGUAACUGGUCUGAGAGGAUGAUCAGUCACACUGGAACUGAGACACGGUCCAGACUCCUACGGGAGGCAGCAGUGGGGAAUAUUGGACAAUGGGCGAAAGCCUGACUCAGCCAUGCCGCGUGUGUGAAGAAGGUCUUCGGAUUGUAAAGCACUUUAAGUUGGGAGGAAGGGCAGUAAGUUAAUACCUUGCUGUUUUGACGUUACCAACAGAAUAAGCACCGGCUAACUUCGUG
rnacentral:rRNA from 1 species